rnacentral:rRNA from 1 species
CUAAGGCUAAAUACUCUCUAGUGACCGAUAGUGAACCAGUACCGUGAGGGAAAGGUGAAAAGCACCCCGGAAGGGGAGUGAAAUAGAACCUGAAACCGUGUGCUUACAAGUAGUCAGAGCCCGUUAAUGGGUGAUGGCGUGCCUUUUGUAGAAUGAACCGGCGAGUUACGAUUUGAUGCAAGGUUAAGCAGUAAAUGUGGAGCCGUAGCGAAAGCGAGUCUGAAUAGGGCGUUUAGUAUUUGGUCGUAGACCCGAAACCAGGUGAUCUACCCUUGGUCAGGUUGAAGUUCAGGUAACACUGAAUGGAGGACCGAACCGACUUACGUUGAAAAGUGAGCGGAUGAACUGAGGGUAGCGGAGAAAUUCCAAUCGAACCUGGAGAUAGCUGGUUCUCUCCGAAAUAGCUUUAGGGCUAGCCUCAAGUGAUGAUUAUUGGAGGUAGAGCACUGUUUGGACGAGGGGCCCCUCUCGGGUUACCGAAUUCAGACAAACUCCGAAUGCCAAUUAAUUUAACUUGGGAGUCAGAACAUGGGUGAUAAGGUCCGUGUUCGAAAGGGAAACAGCCCAGACCACCAGCUAAGGUCCCAAAAUAUAUGUUAAGUGGAAAAGGAUGUGGCGUUGCCCAGACAACUAGGAUGUUGGCUUAGAAGCAGCCAUCAUUUAAAGAGUGCGUAAUAGCUCACUAGUCGAGUGACACUGCGCCGAAAAUGUACCGGGGCUAAACAUAUUACCGAAGCUGUGGAUUGUCCUUUGGACAAUGGUAGGAGAGCGUUCUAAGGGCGUUGAAGCAUGAUCGUAAGGACAUGUGGAGCGCUUAGAAGUGAGAAUGCCGGUGUGAGUAGCGAAAGACGGGUGAGAAUCCCGUCCACCGAUUGACUAAGGUUUCCAGAGGAAGGCUCGUCCGCUCUGGGUUAGUCGGGUCCUAAGCUGAGGCCGACAGGCGUAGGCGAUGGAUAACAGGUUGAUAUUCCUGUACCACCUAUAAUCGUUUUAAUCGAUGGGGGGACGCAGUAGGAUAGGCGAAGCGUGCGAUUGGAUUGCACGUCUAAGCAGUAAGGCUGAGUAUUAGGCAAAUCCGGUACUCGUUAAGGCUGAGCUGUGAUGGGGAGAAGACAUUGAGUCUUCGAGUCGUUGAUUUCACACUGCCGAGAAAAGCCUCUAGAUAGAAAAUAGGUGCCCGUACCGCAAACCGACACAGGUAGUCAAGAUGAGAAUUCUAAGGUGAGCGAGCGAACUCUCGUUAAGGAACUCGGCAAAAUGACCCCGUAACUUCGGGAGAAGGGGUGCUCUUUAGGGUUAACGCCCAGAAGAGCCGCAGUGAAUAGGCCCAAGCGACUGUUUAUCAAAAACACAGGUCUCUGCUAAACCGUAAGGUGAUGUAUAGGGGCUGACGCCUGCCCGGUGCUGGAAGGUUAAGAGGAGUGGUUAGCUUCUGCGAAGCUACGAAUCGAAGCCCCAGUAAACGGCGGCCGUAACUAUAACGGUCCUAAGGUAGCGAAAUUCCUUGUCGGGUAAGUUCCGACCCGCACGAAAGGCGUAACGAUUUGGGCACUGUCUCAACGAGAGACUCGGUGAAAUCAUAGUACCUGUGAAGAUGCAGGUUACCCGCGACAGGACGGAAAGACCCCGUGGAGCUUUACUGUAGCCUGAUAUUGAAAUUCGGCACAGCUUGUACAGGAUAGGUAGGAGCCUUUGAAACGUGAGCGCUAGCUUACGUGGAGGCGCUGGUGGGAUACUACCCUAGCUGUGUUGGCUUUCUAACCCGCACCACUUAUCGUGGUGGGAGACAGUGUCAGGCGGGCAGUUUGACUGGGGCGGUCGCCUCCUAAAAGGUAACGGAGGCGCUCAAAGGUUCCCUCAGAAUGGUUGGAAAUCAUUCAUAGAGUGUAAAGGCAUAAGGGAGCUUGACUGCGAGACCUACAAGUCGAGCAGGGUCGAAAGACGGACUUAGUGAUCCGGUGGUUCCGCAUGGAAGGGCCAUCGCUCAACGGAUAAAAGCUACCCCGGGGAUAACAGGCUUAUCUCCCCCAAGAGUUCACAUCGACGGGGAGGUUUGGCACCUCGAUGUCGGCUCAUCGCAUCCUGGGGCUGUAGUCGGUCCCAAGGGUUGGGCUGUUCGCCCAUUAAAGCGGUACGCGAGCUGGGUUCAGAACGUCGUGAGACAGUUCGGUCCCUAUCCGUCGUGGGCGUAGGAAAUUUGAGAGGAGCUGUCCUUAGUACGAGAGGACCGGGAUGGACAUACCUCUGGUGUACCAGUUGUCGUGCCAACGGCAUAGCUGGGUAGCUAUGUGUGGACGGGAUAAGUGCUGAAAGCAUCUAAGCAUGAAGCCCCCCUCAAGAUGAGAUUUCCCAACUUCGGUUAUAAGAUCCCUCAAAGAUGAUGAGGUUAAUAGGUUCGAGGUGGAAGCAUGGUGACAUGUGGAGCUGACGAAUACUAAUCGAUCGAAGACUUAAUCAA